CCCGUGGGUGCAGGGGACCCCCCCCCGGGGCCGUCACCCCUGGAGCGGGGGCUCCACGCCCUGGUGGGCACCUUCUACCAGUACGCGGGGACCCCGGGGGGGACACGGGAGCCCGUCCUGGACCCCCCCGCCUUCCAGCGCCUGCUGCGCCGCGAGCUGGGCCACCAGCUCACCGACACGGGGCAGCCCGAGGCGGUGGCCGCCAUCUUUGCUCUGCUGGACGCCAACGGGGACCGGGUCAUCUCCUUCGACGAGUACUGGCAGCUGGUGGCCUGGCUCUGCCACGUCCUGCGCCACCGCCACUACGGGGCCGCGCCGGCCCCCCCGCCACCCCCCAUCUGUGGGGACACCGACGGCCACCACCACCCGGACCCCAACCCUGCCCCAGUGUCCCCAGCCCAUGGGGAUGGGCACCAGUGACCCCUGGCCAGGUGGGGACAUCCCCAGGGUGAUGGCCCUUGGUCCCCCACCUCAUGAUGGGGCCAUGGAUGUCCCCAGGAUGAGUGGUCCCCGGUUCCCCACCCCACAGUGGGGACAGGGAUGGGGACAUCCCCAGGGUGAGUGGUCCCUGGUCCCCCACCUCAUGGUGGGGACAGGGACGGGGGCACCCAGAGGGACACAGGGCUGGUGGGUGCCCCAUUUUCUAGUGUUUUCAUCCCAAAUGACCCCUGGCAGUGGGGCAGGGUGGCUGGGGUGGUUCCAGCCCCACAUUCACCAGAGAUGGGGGGAAACGGGCCCCAUGGGGACGUCCCUGUCCCCUUCCUGUCCCCGGGGCGCUGGUGGGAGGAGGAGAAAUGUCUUAAAAACCAGUUGAAUAUAGAAAAUGUACUGGAAUUAUAAUAAAAAAGACCCAAAAAGGGAC